GCGAUGGUUUCAUGGGGAAACCCCCUGCCAGGGAGGAUAAUGCGGGUUCGAUGACCGCCGCACCGCC
rnacentral:tRNA from 1 species